rnacentral:rRNA from 1 species
UUAAGCGACUAAGCGUACACGGUGGAUGCCCUGGCAGUCAGAGGCGAUGAAGGACGUGCUAAUCUGCGAAAAGCGUCGGUAAGGUGAUAUGAACCGUUAUAGCCGGCGAUGUCCGAAUGGGGAAACCCAGUGCAAUUCGUUGCACUAUCGUUAACUGAAUACAUAGGUUAACGAGGCGAACCGGGGGAACUGAAACAUCUAAGUACCCCGAGGAAAAGAAAUCAACCGAGAUUCCCCCAGUAGCGGCGAGCGAACGGGGAGCAGCCCAGAGUCUGAAUCAGCUUGUGUGUUAGUGGAACGGUCUGGAAAGUCCGACGGUACAGGGUGAUAGUCCCGUACACCAAAAUGCACAGGCUGUGAACUCGAAGAGUAGGGCGGGACACGUGGUAUCCUGUCUGAAUAUGGGGGGACCAUCCUCCAAGGCUAAAUACUCCUGACUGACCGAUAGUGAACCAGUACCGUGAGGGAAAGGCGAAAAGAACCCCGGCGAGGGGAGUGAAAAAGAACCUGAAACCGUGUACGUACAAGCAGUGGGAGCACCUUCGGGUGUGACUGCGUACCUUUUGUAUAAUGGGUCAGCGACUUAUAUUCUGUAGCAAGGUUAACCGUAUAGGGGAGCCGCAGGGAAACCGAGUCUUAACUGGGCGUUAAGUUGCAGGGUAUAGACCCGAAACCCGGUGAUCUAGCCAUGGGCAGGUUGAAGGUUGGGUAACACUAACUGGAGGACCGAACCGACUAAUGUUGAAAAAUUAGCGGAUGACUUGUGGCUGGGGGUGAAAGGCCAAUCAAACCGGGAGAUAGCUGGUUCUCCCCGAAAGCUAUUUAGGUAGCGCCUCGUGAACUCAUCUUCGGGGGUAGAGCACUGUUUCGGCUAGGGGGUCAUCCCGACUUACCAACCCGAUGCAAACUACGAAUACCGAAGAAUGUUAUCACGGGAGACACACGGCGGGUGCUAACGUCCGUCGUGAAGAGGGAAACAACCCAGACCGCCAGCUAAGGUCCCAAAGUCAUGGUUAAGUGGGAAACGAUGUGGGAAGGCACAGACAGCCAGGAUGUUGGCUUAGAAGCAGCCAUCAUUUAAAGAAAGCGUAAUAGCUCACUGGUCGAGUCGGCCUGCGCGGAAGAUGUAACGGGGCUAAACCAUGCACCGAAGCUGCGGCAGCGACACUAUGUGUUGUUGGGUAGGGGAGCGUUCUGUAAGCCUGCGAAGGUGACCUGUGAGGGUUGCUGGAGGUAUCAGAAGUGCGAAUGCUGACAUAAGUAACGAUAAAGCGGGUGAAAAGCCCGCUCGCCGGAAGACCAAGGGUUCCUGUCCAACGUUAAUCGGGGCAGGGUGAGUCGACCCCUAAGGCGAGGCCGAAAGGCGUAGUCGAUGGGAAACAGGUUAAUAUUCCUGUACUUGGUGUUACUGCGAAGGGGGGACGGAGAAGGCUAUGUUAGCCGGGCGACGGUUGUCCCGGUUUAAGCAUGUAGGCUGGUUGUCCAGGCAAAUCCGGAUAAUCAAGGCUGAGGUGUGAUGACGAGGCACUACGGUGCUGAAGUAACAAAUGCCCUGCUUCCAGGAAAAGCCUCUAAGCAUCAGGUAACAUUAAAUCGUACCCCAAACCGACACAGGUGGUCAGGUAGAGAAUACCAAGGCGCUUGAGAGAACUCGGGUGAAGGAACUAGGCAAAAUGGUGCCGUAACUUCGGGAGAAGGCACGCUGGUGUGUAGGUGAAGUCCCUGCGGAUGGAGCUGAGACCAGUCGAAGAUACCAGCUGGCUGCAACUGUUUAUUAAAAACACAGCACUGUGCAAACACGAAAGUGGACGUAUACGGUGUGACGCCUGCCCGGUGCCGGAAGGUUAAUUGAUGGGGUUAUCCGUAAGGAGAAGCUCUUGAUCGAAGCCCCGGUAAACGGCGGCCGUAACUAUAACGGUCCUAAGGUAGCGAAAUUCCUUGUCGGGUAAGUUCCGACCUGCACGAAUGGCGUAAUGAUGGCCAGGCUGUCUCCACCCGAGACUCAGUGAAAUUGAACUCGCUGUGAAGAUGCAGUGUACCCGCGGCAAGACGGAAAGACCCCGUGAACCUUUACUAUAGCUUGACACUGAACAUUGAGCCUUGAUGUGUAGGAUAGGUGGGAGGCUUUGAAGCGUGGACGCCAGUCUGCGUGGAGCCAACCUUGAAAUACCACCCUUUAAUGUUUGAUGUUCUAACGUUGGCCCCU